GCAGUGGGGAAUAUUGCACAAUGGGCGCAAGCCUGGAGCAGCCAUGCCGCGUGAGUGAGAGGCCUUCGGGUUGUAAAGCUCUUUUAGCAGGGAAGAAAUGACCGUACCGGGAGAUAUGGCCCGGCCCGCUCCGUGCCAGCAGCCCCGGUAAU
rnacentral:rRNA from 1 species